rnacentral:rRNA from 1 species
AACGAACGCUGGCGGCAUGCCUAACACAUGCAAGUCGAACGAGACCUUCGGGUCUAGUGGCGCACGGGUGCGUAACGCGUGGUAACCUGCCCUUAGGUUCGGAAUAACUCCCCGAAAGGGGUGCUAAUACCGGAUAAUGUCUUCGGGCCAAAGAUUUAUCGCCUUUGGAUGGGCCCGCGUUGGAUUAGCUAGUUGGUAGUGUAAAAGCCUACCAAGGCGACGAUCCAUAGCUGGUCUGAGAGGAUGAUAAGCCACACUGGGACUGAGACACGGCCCAGACUCCUACGGGAGGCAGCAGUGGGGAAUAUUGGACAAUGGGCGAAAGCCUGAUACAGCAAUGCCGCGUGAGUGAUGAAGGCCUUAGGGUUGUAAAGCUCUUUUACCCGGGAUGAUAAUGACAGUACCGGGAGAAUAAGCUCCGGCUAACUCCGUG